GCCCGGCUAGCUCAGUCAAUAGAACAUGAGACUUUUAAUCUCAGGGUCGUGGGUUUGAGUCCCACGUUGGGUG
rnacentral:tRNA from 1 species